rnacentral:rRNA from 1 species
GCUGGCGGCAGGCCUAACACAUGCAAGUCGAGCGCUACCUUCGGGUGGAGCGGCGGACGGGUUAGUAACGCGUGGGAACGUACCCAGAUCUAAGGAAUAGCCACUGGAAACGGUGAGUAAUACCUUAUACGCCCUUCGGGGGAAAGAUUUAUCGGAUUUGGAUCGGCCCGCGUUAGAUUAGAUAGUUGGUGGGGUAAUGGCCUACCAAGUCUACGAUCUAUAGCUGGUUUUAGAGGAUGAUCAGCAACACUGGGACUGAGACACGGCCCAGACUCCUACGGGAGGCAGCAGUGGGGAAUCUUGGACAAUGGGCGCAAGCCUGAUCCAGCCAUGCCGCGUGAGUGAUGAAGGCCUUAGGGUCGUAAAGCUCUUUCGCCAGAGAUGAUAAUGACAGUAUCUGGUAAAGAAACCCCGGCUAACUCCGUGCCAGCAGCCGCGGUAAUACGGAGGGGGUUAGCGUUGUUCGGAAUUACUGGGCGUAAAGCGUACGUAGGCGGAUUAGUCAGUCAGAGGUGAAAUCCCAGGGCUCAACCCUGGAACUGCCUUUGAUACUGCUAGUCUUGAGUUCGAGAGAGGUGAGUGGAAUUCCAAGUGUAGAGGUGAAAUUCGUAGAUAUUU